UUUAAAUUGUGAUGACUUUGGAAUAUUGUUCCUUAUUAGGUAAAGUAAUUUAAAAACCAAGGUUUAUAAACUCAAGCUUGUAACUUCCCAAAGGCAAAUUCUCUUUGCUUCAUAGGUAUGCCUGAAUUUAACAAAUGAGGCAUUUAACUAACAAAAUGUUUUUCUUUUUCUCCUUGGGCUUAAAAUACAGGGUCAAAAGGCAGUGGUACAUCAGAUAAUAGAAAACAUCUCUUAAAAAGCUUACUUUUAAAAACUAAAUGAGAUAGCAGCUUAAAAUUCAUAGACAAUGUAAUUUGAAGGUUAAAGAGCUACAUUAAUUCUCAAAGAGCUAAUGCGUCAUGAAUGACAGUGACUGAUAUAUACUGUAUUGGUCCAGCAGCAGCCUAAAGUGCAUACCAGCCCUUACAAUGCAGGUGUACCAAGGCUGGUGACAGGUGGUGUUAUGUGUGACUAGAAAGAAGGAAGAAGAAGGCAGAAGAAGGCAGACUGCAGUUUAAUGGGUUUAAAAAUGAAAAUAGUCUUCAGAAAAGUUUUAUUUUCCUUGCUAUCUCAAACUAUAAAGGCCAAGUUAAAUCUACCUUACUACACAACAUGCAAAGUGUUGUGUUUGGGGAUUUCAGGUGGUUCUAGUCAACCACCUUCCUCAGGGGCAACUUCUCUCCUUUCAGUUUGCCUCUUCGGUCUGGGUCAGUUACCAGGUGUGCCUUUCACAAAAGGAGUUAAAGCUAUUCUUGUGAGGGUAAGCUAUGUUUUAAGGUUUAUGAAAGCUGCAUCUGCGCUGACAUAGCCAUCUCUCCCGGAAACACCUGGGUCAGGCUGCCUCACAGACCUCCUACCUGACGUCUAGUAUUGGCCCUGUGAGAUACUUUUGUGGGCCUGUGGCUAUCAUUCUUGUAUAGUAUACUGUACAAAGGAUAUGGCAUUUUAAUGAGUCUGAGUAAGGCCGGGAAGUUAUGAUGAAACAAAUGAAGGCAGGGUCAUUUGUGUUUAAUUCAUUUAAUCCUUAGGAUGGCCCAGUUAUUUCAUGGGCCAUUCUGUAUUACAGUUGUAAAUAGGCCAAAGUAGAGUGAAUACUUCAGUCCAAUCUUUCAACUACUUCAAGAAAAACAACCUGAUUGAAUCAAUUGUACUAACUUCAUGAUUCAAGGUGAAGAAACUAAGAAUCAGAGGAGUUCUAACUGAGCCAUGAGGACUCGAUUCCUGAAAACCUUAUUUAUAAAAAACAGGAAUGGGAACUAAAACAAGGCAACCUGUGCAAGCCCUUACAAGUUUUUCAUGUAUUACAGUAAAAGGUAAAGCAACUUAAAAACCACUUGACAUUUUUUAACAUUUGUAAAAUUUUGUAAUGCACAGUUGUCUCUCAUUUACCAUCCCUUGCUAGAAACUUCUUAGGCUCACCCUUCACUGCAUUUCCAACAUUAUUUUGCUGAUAAUGUAUACGCCCAAGUGACAUGUUUUCAUUUGGCUUAACUUUCAAUGCCUUUUUGAUUUUAUGAUCUAGUCCUUUAUUGCUGGACCCUUGAAUUGUAUCUAGUCUUCUGCUAUUACAAAAAAUGCUGAAUCAAAUAAACCUGAACAUGUAACAUCA
rnacentral:lncRNA from 1 species